CCUACGGGUGGCAGCAGUGAGGAAUAUUGGUCAAUGGACGGGAGUCUGAACCAGCCAAGCCGCGUGCGGGAAGACGGUUCUGUGUAUCGUAAACCGCUUUUGUCAAAGGACAAACCCUGGUACGCGUCCUCGGCUGAAAGUACCUUACGAAUAAGCAUCGGCUAACUCCGUGCCAGCAGCCGCGGUAAUACGGAGGAUUCAAGCGUUAUCCGGAUUUAUUGGGUUUAAAGGGUGCGUAGGCGGGUUGUUAAGUUAGCGGGGAAAGGUCCGGGCGUAACUCGGGACCUGCCUUUAAUACUGGCGGUCUAGAGUGGGGGAGAGGUAGGCGGAAUGUACGGUGUAGCGGUGAAAUGCAUAGAGAUCAUGCAGAACUCCGAUUGCGAAGGCAGCUUACC
rnacentral:rRNA from 1 species